UGCAGACCCCGCCUUGAGUGCGCAGCUCUCCGGCCCGCGUGAACGCUUCCCCCAGACACCACCACCCUUUGGAAUGGCCAGCAGGGGACCUGCCUACGGCCUGAGCCGGGAGGUGCAGCAGAAGAUUGAGAAACAAUACGAUGCAGACCUGGAGCAGAUCCUGAUCCAAUGGACCACCGCCCAGUGCCGCAAGGAUGUGGGCCGGCCCCAGCCUGGGCGCGAGAACUUCCAGAACUGACUGAAGGAUGGCACGGUGCUGUGUGAGCUCAUUAAUGGGCUGUACCCCGAGGGGCAGGCCCCAGUGAGGAAGACCCAGUCCUCCGCCAUGGCCUUCAAGCAGAUGGAGCAGAUCUCCCAGUUCCUGCAAGCAGCCGAGCGCUACGGCAUCAACACCACUAACAUCUUCCAGACUGUGGACCUCUGGGAAGGAAAGAACAUGGCCUGUGUGCAGCGGACACUGCUGAACCUGGGUGGGCUGGCGGUAGCCCAGAGCAAUGGGCUCUUCUCUGGAGAUCCCAACUGGUUUCCCAAGAAAUCCAAGGAGAACCCUCGGAACUUCUCAGACGACCAGCUGCAGGAGGGCAAGAAUGUGAUUGGGUUACAGAUGGGGACCAACCGCGGGGCAUCUCAGGCAGGCAUAACCGGCUACGGGAUGCCACGCCAGAUCCUCUGAUCCCACCCACAGCCCUGCCCCCGCCUGCCAUGAAUGGUUAAUAUAUAUAUAUGUGUGUGUAUAUAUAUAUAUUUUAGCAGUGACAUUCCCUGAGAGCCCCUGGAGCUCUCACACUCCCCUCUGCCAGGGUUGGGGCCUGGCCUGUCUCCUCUGAGGGUGCCUGACAGUGGCCUCCCCACUGUGCUUACUAAUACAUUCCCUUCUCCAAAUCCACCAAAAUUGGACCAACUGGCCUCUUUUCCCCAGGACCAAAAUUAGGGGGGCAUCACCCCCUCUCCCCACCAUACCUCUUCUCUUUCUCUCUGGCCUCUCUUCCCCUGAGCCCUGUGCCCUAAUCCAUUCGUUGGCUGGGAGUCAGGGAUGCUGCCUAACGGCCUUCUCCCCACAAGUACGCCUCGCCUACAGCUGUGGCUGCAGGGACUUAAUUUAUAGGGAGGGGUCUGUGGCGGCUGCUCCCCCAGCCCCAACUGGACUGCACUCA